rnacentral:rRNA from 1 species
UCUAAACGACUCUCGGCAACGGAUAUCUCGGCUCUCGCAUCGUUGAAGAACGUANNGAAAUGCGAUACUCGGUGUGAAUUGCAGAAUCCCGUGAACCAUCGAGUCUUUGAACGCAAGUUGCGCCCGAAGCCAUUAGGCCGAGGGCACGUCUGCCUGGGCGUCAC